CAAGCGGUGGAGCAUGUGGUUUAAUUCGAUGGUACACGAGGAACCUUACCUGGGUUUGACAUGCACAGGAAUACGGCAGAGAUGUCGUAGUCCCGCAAGGGAUCUGUGAACAGGUGCUGCAUGGCUGUCGUCAGCUCGUGCCGUGAGGUGUUGGGCUAAGUCCCGCAACGAGCGCAACCCCUACUGCCAGUUACUAACAGGUAAUGCUGAGGACUCUGGCGGAACUGCCGGUGACAAACCGGAGGAAGGUGGGGAUGACGUCAAAUCAUCAUGCCCCUUAUGACCUGGGCUACAAACGUGAUACAAUGGCUGAAACAAAGGGCAGCGAAGCAGUGAUGUGGAGCGAAACCCAAAAAAGCAGUCUCGGUUCGGAUUGAAGUCUGCAACUCGACUUCAUGAAGUUGGAAUCGCUAGUAAUCGUAGAUCAGAACGCUACGGUGAAUACGUUCUCGGGGUUU
rnacentral:rRNA from 1 species